AUUGAACGCUGGCGGCAGGCCUAACACAUGCAAGUCGAACGAGUGGCGGACGGGUGAGUAAUGUCUGGGAAACUGCCCGAUGGAGGGGGAUAACUACUGGAAACGGUAGCUAAUACCGCAUACCAUCGGAUGUGCCCAGAUGGGCUUGGCUAGUAGGUGGGGUAACGGCUCACCUAGGCGACGAUCCCUAGCGUGUCUGAGAGGAUGACCAGACACACUGGAAGUGGGACACGGUCCAGACUCCUACGGGAGGAAGCAGGGGGGAAUAUUGCACAAUGGGCGAAAGCCUGAUGCAGCCAUGCCGCGUGUAUGAAGAAGGCCUUCGGGUGGUAAAGUACUUUCAGCGAGGAGGCGUUACUCGCAGAAGAAGCACCGGCUAACUCCGUGCCAGCAGCCGCGGUAAUUC
rnacentral:rRNA from 1 species